rnacentral:lncRNA from 1 species
GACGGUUUAAGUAGAGCUGCGGCCGAACUCGCCGUCACUCACUGUGUCUCUCUGCUCUGACUCGUCGCAUCCGCGGCCCCCCGCCGCGUCCCGGCAGAGCGAGCGAGCCGAGCGAGCGAGCGAGCGCGAGACACACAAACUACGUGUCCGUCUAUGUGCUGCAUUCACGCGGCGACGUGCGGCGCUCCGCAACGUUUCAUCAAUGAACGAACACACUCACACAACCAUGUUUGUGUCGCUCAUUACGGGCCUUCAGCGCUCCGCCUACCUGCUCCUCCAGGUCCAGGUGGCCGAAAGGUGCGCCUCCACGUCCUGUCGGUAACGCGAGCUUUUAUAUAAUAAUAAUAAUGUGAGCCCGUUCGGCGGCUCUCGGUGUCGCCGCGCUCCUCCGGUGUCCGGCGCCGCGCGCAGCCAUGGCCGUGUGCGCGUCUCCCACCUCUUAUUGGAGGAGCAGAAGGGGUCGGAUCGCUUCGGCUUCGGCUUCGGCUUCGGCUUCGGCUUCGGCGCCGCGCAGUCCCCCUCCCCCUCCCCCUGUACAACAGCGUCAGCGCGGUCGCUCCUCCUUCGCGCUGUAGCCGUUAUUGUGCGGAGCGACAAGGAUCCCUGCGGUUGCGGCGCUUCUCGCAGCGCGCGCACACACACAUUGUGCCAUUUCGUUUAUUAUUCAUUCGUUCACGUUAAAGGGCACAAUGGGUGGCUCGCGCAACCCCCUUGUUUGUCAGGGCUAAGUUUGCAUUUGUCACAUGGCUUUUUGCUCUUAUUUUUAACCCUCGAGGUUACAGUUCCGUGCUCGAGGCCAGUCGGAUCACAGCCAGGUGAUCGCAGGUCCAAGGUCAGCUCGCUCAUCCCCCUCUGGGCCGCGGCAGCGCUUUGGUUAGGAGACGAAGGUGCAACGAAAGACUUUACUGACACCUGUGAGAAAUCCUGCAUCCUGUCACUGAAGAGCCACUAAAUUCUAAUGGUUCUGAUUAAUAUGUAAUGAAUAACUGCUUCGGAGCUGUAUAAGUGAACAAUAAGAUUGUAAAGUGUCUCCUUAACUCUUCUGGGAGUAAAUAAAGGGGCCGAAGUACUGGCGCA